rnacentral:rRNA from 1 species
UACAGAGGUCCCAAGCGUUGUUCGGAUUCACUGGGCGUAAAGGGUGCGUAGGCGGUCGGGUAAGUCUGAUGUGAAAUCUCCGGGCUCAACCCGGAAAUGGCAUUGGAUACUAUUCGGCUCGAGGUCUGGAGGGGGGACUGGAAUACUUGGUGUAGCAGUGAAAUGCGUAGAUAUCAGGAGGAAUACCGAUGGCGAAGGCAGGUCUCUGGGCUGACACUGACGCUCAUGCACGAAAGCGUGGGGAGCAAACAGG